rnacentral:rRNA from 1 species
GUUUGAUCCUGGCUCAGGAUGAACGCUAGCGACAGGCCUGACACAUGCAAGUCGAGGGGUAACAUGAGUGCUUGCACUUGAUGACGACCGGCGCACGGGUGCGUAACGCGUAUGCAACUUACCUUGUACUGGGGAAUAGCCCGUGGAAACGCGGAUUAAUGUCCCAUAACACUACAAUUUCGCAUGGAAAAGUGGUUAAAGUUCCGACGGUACAAGAUGGGCAUGCGUGACAUUAGCUAGUUGGUGAGGUAAUGGCUCACCAAGGCGACGAUGUCUAGGGGUUCUGAGAGGAAGGUCCCCCACACUGGUACUGAGACACGGACCAGACUCCUACGGGAGGCAGCAGUGAGGAAUAUUGGUCAAUGGGCGCAAGCCUGAACCAGCCAUGUCGCGUGCAGGAAGACUGCCCUACGGGUUGUAAACUGCUUUUGUAUGGGAAGAAACGUUGGUACGUGUACCAAUUUGCCGGUACCUUACGAAUGAGGAUCGGCUAACUCCGUGCCAGCAGCCGCGGUAAUACGGAGGAUCCAAGCGUUAUCCGGAUUUAUUGGGUUUAAAGGGUGCGUAGGCGGUAGAAUAAGUCAGUGGUGAAAUCCUGCAGCUUAACUGUAGAACUGCCAUUGAUACUGUUUUACUUGAGUGUAAUUGAGGUAGGCGGAAUGUGUUGUGUAGCGGUGAAAUGCAUAGAUAUAACACAGAACACCGAUUGCGAAGGCAGCUUACUAAGUUAUAACUGACGCUGAUGCACGAAAGCGUGGGUAGCGAACAGGAUUAGAUACCCUGGUAGUCCACGCCGUAAACGAUGAUUACUCGCUGUAGGCAAUACACCGUCUGUGGCUGAGCGAAAGCAUUAAGUAAUCCACCUGGGGAGUACGUUGGCAACAAUGAAACUCAAAGGAAUUGACGGGGGCCCGCACAAGCGGAGGAACAUGUGGUUUAAUUCGAUGAUACGCGAGGAACCUUACCUGGACUUAAAUGUAGAUUGACGUAUCCAGAGAUGGAUAUUUCUUCGGACAAUUUACAAGGUGCUGCAUGGUUGUCGUCAGCUCGUGCCGUGAGGUGUCGGGUUAAGUCCCAUAACGAGCGCAACCCCUGUUGUUAGUUACCAGCACAUCAUGGUGGGGACUCUAACAAGACUGCCGGUGUAAACCGCGAGGAAGGUGGGGAUGACGUCAAAUCAGCACGGCCCUUACGUCCAGGGCUACACACGUGUUACAAUGGCCGGUACAGAGGGCAGCUACUUGGUGACAAGAUGCGAAUCUCAAAAACCGGUCUCAGUUCGGAUCGAAGUCUGCAACCCGACUUCGUGAAGCUGGAUUCGCUAGUAAUCGCAUAUCAGCCAUGAUGCGGUGAAUACGUUCCCGGGCCUUGUACACACCGCCCGUCAAACCAUC